AGGAACACGUGGGAACCUGCCCCUAAGUGAGGAAUACCGGCGAGAAAUCGCCGACAAGACCGCAUGAGCUUCUCCGAUGAGAGUCGGGGAAGGAAAGCUUCGCAAGAGGCGCUUGGGGAGGGGCCUGCGUCCGAUUAGCUAGUUGGUGGGGGUAAAGAGCUCACCAAGGCGACGAUCGGUAGCUGGUCUGAGAGGACGAUCAGCCACACUGGGAUUGAGAACGGCCCAG
rnacentral:rRNA from 1 species